rnacentral:lncRNA from 1 species
GCAAAAAGACAAGAGUGCGUCCGGGUACGACACUUUCCCCGAGGAAGCGCGACGCGGCUGGCCAAGCGGCCGAGCGGCGGGCCAAUCGCAGUGGCAGACGUGUGUUGACGUUGACGCUGACGCAAACGUGAGAGAACCACCCGCUGCAUUGGGGAACUGAGAGACGUAAACACCAAUAUGAAGAUAUUCUGGGUUUUCUUGGUCUCGUCCUUUGUCAGCUGCAUUAAUGGACGAGGAAUUCAACAAGUCACAUGUGGAUCUGUGAUAAAACUCUACAACUCAUACUACAAGGUAGAUAAAAUAAAUUCUAAACAAGAAU